rnacentral:rRNA from 1 species
GACGAACGCUGGCGGCGUGCUUAACACAUGCAAGUCGAACGGAAAGGCCCUGCUUUUGUGGGGUGCUCGUGUGGCGAACGGGUGAGUAACACGUGUGUAACCUGCCCUUUACUUUGGGAUAACUUCAGGAAACUGGGGCUAAUACCGGAUAGGAUCUCCUGCUGCAUGGUGGGGGUUGGAAAGUUUCGGCGGUUGGGGAUGGACUCGCGGCUUAUCAGCUUGUUGGUGGGGUAGUGGCUUACCAAGGCUUUGACGGGUAGCCGGCCUGAGAGGGUGACCGGCAAAAUGGGGACGGAGAUACGGCCCAGACUCCAACGGGAGGCAGCAGUGGGGAAUAUUGCAAAAUGGGCGGAAGCCUGAUGCAGCAACGCAGCGUGGGGGAUGACGGCCUUCGGGUUGUAAACCGCUUUCGCCUGUGAAGAAGAGUGAGUGACGGUAAUGGGUAAAGAAGCACCGGCUAACUACGUG